AUUGAACGCUGGCGGCAGGCCUAACACAUGCAAGUCGAGCGGAAGGUUCUUCGGAACCGAGAGCGGCGGACGGGUGAGGAAAGCGUGGGAAUCUGCCUGUAGAUGGGGGGAUAGCCCGGAGAAAUCCGGAUUAAUACCGCAUAAUACCUGAGGGUUAAAGUGGAGGAUCGCAAGACUUCACGUCUACAGAUGAGCCCACGUCAGAUUAGCUAGUUGGUAGGGUAAAGGCCUACCAAGGCGACGAUCUGUAGCUGGCCUGAGAGGUGGCCAGCCACACUGGAACUGAGACACGGUCCAGACUCCUACGGAGGCAGCAGUGGGGAAUAUUGGACAAUGGGCGCAAGCCUGAUCCAGCCAUGCCGCGUGUGUGAAGAAGGCCUGGUUCGUAAGUACGACUUAAGUUAGGUAGGAGGUU
rnacentral:rRNA from 1 species